CAUCCGUGUUGAGUGUUGAGUUAAUUUAAUUUCCACCCAGCCGUAAUACCCUAGUGACACCAAAUAAAAUGGAAGAAUGCAAGACAACAACGUGCUGUAUGUCUUUUCCUGUUGUUCUGUGAGGGCAUCCUGUGUGCUACUCUUCUACUGAUGCUUCGCCUUGGAAUCCCUUGGAUGGAAGAGCCUGUCUUACUCCUAGAUCACGAUGACUGGGAAGUAGGCAUUCAAUCAAUAUUGGUCUGGCUGCCUUGGAGAACUAAAUACCAAAUCCUCCACCAGGAGCAGUGACGAAUGGGAGACGGUGCAGCAAAGAAUGAGAUCGCGGAGCCUGGUUACAUGGACUCCAUUCUGAAGCCCAUUUACUGUGUGGAGUGAACACGGUUCAUGCCUGGUCUGUUAUUCCACCAGCCAGCUCAGUCCUGUCGGUCCUUCAAGUCCUGGCUCUGACAUUGCCUGCUGUGACCCCCGCCCCCCGACUUCCCCC